AAUCUCAGUUGGAUUGUAGGCUGCAACUCGCCUACAUGAAGUUGGAAUCGCUAGUAAUCGCGAAUCAGAAUGUCGCGGUGAAUACGUUCCCGGGUCUUGUACACACCGCCCGUCACACCACGAGAGUUUACAACACCCGAAGUCAGUGGCCUAACCGCAAGGAGGACGCUGCCGAAGGUAGGAUUGGCGACUGGGGUGAAGUCGUAACAAGGUAGC
rnacentral:rRNA from 1 species